rnacentral:lncRNA from 1 species
UGGAGCCAGAACCAGUUAUUUAUUCAUGUUUGUCCUGUUUUAACUGAUUGUUUGAUUUUAUAAAUGCAUGAUAAUACACCAAAAUUUGUAAGAUGAUUAAGUUGUGUUUUUUUUAUGCAUGGAUGGCUUGUCUUGUGUGAUUUACAGUUAAAUUAUAAAACUGAAAAUUAAAUAUAAACGAAAAAAUGAUUGGUUAAGUGAAUGAAUAAAUGAUAGCCUUAUUGGAUAUCUUGGGAGAUGGUGGAGGAACCGGGUACAUUGGGAACCCUACCGUGAACGUCGCUUCAUACUGGACAGGGUAUCAAGGAUUAGUAUUUUUGGAGCUCAUACUGGAUAGAGUGUGGGGAUGGCCAGUUUCACCAUCAUACCAGACGAGGUAUCGAUGAUUAGUAUUUUAGCGCUCAUACCGGACGGGGUAUGGGAACAACUCAUUUCACCGUCAUACAAGACGGGGUAUUAAGGGAUAGUAUUUUAGUGUUCAU